rnacentral:rRNA from 1 species
CUAGACGAGUUUGAUCAUGGCUCAGGAUGAACGCUGGCGGCGUGCCUAAUACAUGCAAGUCGAACGAGGUGCUUUUGUAGCAAUACGAGAGUAUCCUAGUGGCGAACGGGUGAGUAACGCGUGGAUGACCUGCCCCAAAGUGUGGGAUAACAGUCCGAAAGGAUUGCUAAUACCUCAUGUGGUUANCGGUUUUAGAAAGCGAUAACUAAAGCAGCAAUGCGCUUUGGGAGGGAUCUGCGUCCCAUCAGCUAGUUGGUGAGGUAACGGCUCACCAAGGCGACGACGGGUAGGGGACCUGAGAGGGUGGCCCCCCACAAUGGAACUGAAACACGGUCCAUACACCUACGGGUGGCAGCAGUAGGGAAUAUUGCUCAAUGGGCGAAAGCCUGAAGCAGCAACGCCGCGUGUGCGAUGAAGGCCUUCGGGUCGUAAAGCACUUUUCUAAGAGAUGAGAAAGGACAGUAUCUUAGGAAUAAGUCUCGGCUAACUACGUG